GAGUUUGAUCCUGGCUCAGGAUGAACGCACAAGACGUGCCUAACACAUGCAAAUCGAAUGAAAAGAAUUAAUUAUUGUUUUCAUGGUGAACGGGUGAGUAACACAUAAGAAUCAGCUUUUAGAUAAGGCAUAAAAGAGUAAUAUCUUGGUAAUUCCUUAUAUGCGCAGCAGUGCUUAAAAAGGGGAGUCCCGUCUAAAAACGAGCUUAUGCCUGAUUAGCUAGUUGGCGAGUUAAAAGCUCACCAAGGCGAAGAUCAGUAGCUGGCCUGAGAGGGCGGCCAGCCACAUUGGGACUGAGACACGGCCCAAACUCCUACGGGAGGCAGCAGUGGGGAAUCUUCUGCAAUGGGCGCAAGCCUGACAGAGCGGCGUCGUGUGAAGGAAGAAGGCCUGAAAUAGGUUGUAAACUUCUUUUACUGAGUAAUGAAUAAUGACAACGCAGUAAAAAAGUAUCGGCUAACUCCGUGCCAGCAGCCGCGGUAAUACGGGGGAUGCAAGCGUUAUCCGGAAUCACUGGGCGUAAAGCGUCUGUAGGUGGUUUAGUGUGUUCUUAGUUAAAUUAUGAAGCCUAACUUCAUGAAAAGUAAGAAAACUAUUAGACUUGAGUACGAUAGGGGUAAGAGGAAUUCUUCGAGAAGUAGUGAAAUGCGAAGAUACGAAGGAGAAGAUCAUAAGCGAAGGCUUCUUACUGGGUCGUAACUGACACUGAGAGACGAAAGCUAGGGGAGCGAAUGGGAUUAGAUACCCCAGUAGUCCUAGCUGUAAACGAUGGAUAUUCGGUGCCGGAAAUUUUAUUAGAACAUUUCGGUACCCUAGCUAACGCGUUAAAUAUCCCGCCUGGGGAGUACGCUCGCAAGGGUGAAACUCAAAGGAAUUGACGGGGGCUCGCACAAGCGGUGGAGCAUGUGGUUUAAUUCGAUGCAAAGCGAAGAACCUUACCAGGGCUUGACAGUAUGUAU
rnacentral:rRNA from 1 species